rnacentral:rRNA from 1 species
ACUUUCAGCAACGGAUCNCNNGGCUCNCGCAUCGAUGAAGAACGCAGCGAAAUGCGAUAAGUAAUGUGAAUUGCAGAAUUCAGUGAAUCAUCGAAUCUUUGAACGCACCUUGCGCUCCUUGGUAUUCCGAGGAGCAUGCCUGUUUGAGUGUCAU